UGUCUAUUGUAUGAUUAUAAUGAUUUCUUAGAUAGAAAAUCGGUAUCGGUAAAACCGGUUUUGGCAGGUCAGACCCCCUCAAAAACCGGAAAUCGGUAUCGGCCAAGAAUUUUGCAAUCGGUGCAUCUCUAGACAGAGACAUACGAGGAGACAGGAG